AUGUGCCGACACAAGAAUGCGGAUGGCAAGCUUGUGUACCAACAACACAGACAACUCACGUCCGAGUUCAUUGCUUAUAGGUUAUCCAACCAAAUAUCCACACUUCCAAUAAUGAGCAUCAAGAGUGUCAUUGACCUUGCGAAAGUCAUCUUUCAUUACAAGGUGAAGUACAACAAGGCAUGGAAGGCGAAGCAAGCCGCAUUCAAGAUGUUGUAUGGCUAUUGGGAGGAAGCAUACAACCGACUCCCUAGGUUGUUGUUAGCUAUGGCCGCCACAAACCCAGGCAUGGUUCACGUGGUUGAGCCUCAUGGGCACCAAACAUUGAUUCACAACGGGAGGACCGUCCGACAUUGUCGGCCCGUCAUCGCCAUUGAUGGCACGUUCUUGACGGGACAAUACAAGGGCACUUUAUUGGUUGCAAUAGCAAGUGAUGCCAAUAACCGGGUGUUGUCUUUGGCUUUCGCUUUGGUUGAGGUCGAGAACAAUGAUAACUGGGAGUGGUUCUUGCGUCAACUGAGAACAAGGGUAUUACCGGCUGAAAGGGAAAUUUGUGUCAUAUCAGAUCGCCAUCCAGGAAUUCUAAAUGCGGUGGUGGUUGACAUUCCCGGACAUACAAAGUUGCACCAUCGAUGGUGCAUGAGGCACUUUUGUGCAAACUUCUAUUGGAAUAUGUGGGCACGUGCUUUCGAUGAAGAUGGCCGGAGGUACGGUCAAAUGACAAGCAAUAUGGCAGAAUGCUUCAAUAAGGUGCUCAAGGGUGUACGUGCAUUACCCGUGACGGCAAUAGUUCAAUACACAUUUUACAAGAUGAAUGCAUACUUUUUAAAGUACUCAAUGGAGACGGAUAAGCAGAUUGCUGGUGAGAACAAGGAUAAGCACAAGUACAAUUUCCCACCAAAGGUUGAAGAAUGGCUAGAAUUUCAAUCACGAAAGGCAGACUCCGAAGAAGUUGUACUAUAUGACGACAACGAUUGGAUGUUUGAAGUGAAAGAGCUUGGAGGAACCACAAACGAUGGCCACCAACACGGAGGCCGGGCUUUCAAGAUCUCCCUAACACUGUGUGAUUGCACUUGCAUGAGGCCAUCUUUUCUUCAUCUCCCAUGCUCGCACUUGUUAAACGCAUCUCGUGUUAGGAAUGUGGACGUCAAUCACCCUCUUACCGUGUGGGAGUCCGAGUUCUCAAUAAUGAGUGUCAAGAAUACAUGGGCUCCCCGAUUUCAGCCAUACUUGGACCAAUCACAAUGGCCGGAGUAUCAUGGAGUUCAACUAUGGCCGGACCCGGAAUUGAAGGUCAUUAGACGGGGAAGACGUCAGACAUAG
rnacentral:rRNA from 1 species